CUCCCCAUCUCAAUCUUGCUCUCAAUCCCUAAGUCAAGGUUGUUUUGGCUGCUAAUGACUCAUCUUCUAUCAAUUAUAUCAAAGGUUGUUUUGGCUGCUAAUGACUCAUCUUCUAUCAAUUAUAUCAAAGGUAA